UACGGAGGGCGCAAGCGUUGUUCGGAAUCAUUGGGCGUAAAGCGCGUGCAGGCGGCUUGGUAAGUCGGGUGUGAAAGCCCGGGGCUCAACCCCGGAACUGCACCCGAUACUGCCUCGCUAGAGUCUCGGAGAGGAUGGCGGAAUUUCCGGUGUAGAGGUGAAAUUCGUAGAUAUCGGAAGGAACACCAGCGGCGAAGGCGGCUAUCUGGACGGUGACUGACUCUCAGACGCGAAAGCGUGGUGAGCAAACAGG
rnacentral:rRNA from 1 species